rnacentral:lncRNA from 1 species
CGCAAUUAUAUUGUUCUUAGUUUAUCAUAGUUAUAUACUUGGCUUAGUUAGAUUGGAAUUAUAUACAUGUUUAGGAUCGUAUAGCGUUUAUCCAUCGGAUCCAUGGCUAAAUGAUAGAUAUUGUGUAGGCGUGGUGCUUAUACCGUAUUUAUCUGCGAUUGUACCCUAUAUGCCAGAUCGCGAGGUAGUUCGUGAUAGUGGCAGCUUCAUUGAUUCUUAUAUAGUCCCCCUCUCAUGUAUAGGGCUGG